rnacentral:rRNA from 1 species
GACGAACGCUGGCGGCGUGCUUAACACAUGCAAGUCGAACGGAAAGGCCCUGCUUUUGUGGGGUGCUCGAGUGGCGAACGGGUGAGUAACACGUGAGUAACCUGCCCUUGACUUUGGGAUAACUUCAGGAAACUGGGGCUAAUACCGGAUAGGAGCUCCUGCUGCAUGGUGGGGGUUGAAAAGUUUCGGCGGUUGGGGAUGGACUCGCGGCUUAUCAGCUUGUUGGUGGGGUAGUGGCUUACCAAGGCUUUGACGGGUAGCCGGCCUGAGAGGGUGACCGGCCACAUUGGGACUGAGAUACGGCCCAGACUCCUACGGGAGGCAACAGUGGGGAAUAUUGCACAAUGGGCGGAAGCCUGAUGCAGCAACGCCGCGUGCGGGAUGACGGCCUUCGGGUUGUAAACCGCUUUCGCCUGUGACGAAGCGUGAGUGACGGUAAUGGGUAAAGAAGCACCGGCUAACUACGU